UAACAACCCUACUCAAAUAAAAUAGCAAUAAUAUGAAUUUAAACAAAAUUUGCUCUGCGAAAUUGCCAGGCGUUUAAUCUUAAUGCAAUAUGGAUCGGAGGUGCAAUAAAAUUAUGUAAUCACUUAAUUACCUUGUUUACUUCCUCCCGGCACAAUGCAGUUUGCUAUAGAAAUCGAUUGACUAACGUGUUCACGUGCGGUUAUUUUAGUUUUAAAUUGAAAUUAAGCUAGUGAAAUGUUUAAUUAAUUACUAUUUUGAUUAAUGUACAGUUAGGUAUCAAGUUUGAAGUGAAAUUGUGAAAUUAAAUCUUAUGUAUUACUAUGAACUGUGUUAUGAGGUUAUAUCUGCCUACAAUUAUGAAUACCGUUAAUGAAUACUAUUGAAUUGAAUAUCUACUUGCUAAACUGAAUCAAAUAAUGGCAAUGAAGACUAUGAAUCUACUUUCUGCACUAGAUGGAAAAUUGAUCCCCACUGGAUGCUCCUGGACUGGUCUGGUUGGUGCUGGAUGGGCUGAAUUCCGUAACUGACUCCUGGUUACGGCUGGAUUCCCUCUGAAAUGGGAUGCUCCGUGUGUCCGUCGCUGCUUUGUCCUGACUGAUGGGACGCAAUGAAUAUCAGCUCUGGAACUUGCACGUAGCUGGAUGUGCCCUGCGCCAACCUGGAUGACCCACGGCUUCACUGGAGAAGGUCCGUUGAAUAGAUGGAGCUCGACUCGAUGCCACAAUCUUGCCUUCUCGCAAUUCAGAGGCUUCGUAAGGACCAUGUAAAAUCUUCGCUGGUCUCAGGUGUUGUAAAGGCGGUGAAAUAAUAAGUGGACUGUAGUAUAACGCUGGUUUACUCUCAAAAUUACAAAAAUACAAAAAGUGGCAAAGUGGAUUGUCGUUGGGAUUCAAGAGAUGACAAAGUAAGUUUUUGAAAGCUCUAUAACUGUCAAAGCUUUGAAUAUAAAAUUGCCAUAGUACAAUUUGAAACAUAGAGAUUUGAAUGAUGAUUGAAUUUGUACGUUUAAUUGCAUAUUUUAAUUAAAAAAUAGACAAUUUGAAUAAUAUUAAUUGUAAGAACAUAUUAAUUGAUACAUAAAAUUAAAUUAUAUUAAAAACUGUGAA